CCAAGGGGCUUUAGUUGAUGCGGGACAUGUGACGCUAGUGCCGACAUACAUGUGCCUAGCUAUUCGUGUGUGAGUGAGUGUGUGCCUAACUGUGGUGAAUGUUUCUCCUUGCCUGCGGCCAAGGAUAACUUCUAUCUUCAUCCACUAAUUUUGAGUCAGAAGGUUUUACAAAGCCACUCCAGUCCAUCCAAGAGUUCUCCAAGUCCAUCAGUCCCGUUGCACCCUAACUUGCACCCAGCCACACCGCCUCGAGGUUGAACUCGGCGUUUAAGUUUGUUCAAAUCAAACAAAACCCGUCACUUUUCUCUGUAAUUAAACCAUUGAUCAACUGCGGUAGUUACUCAAUUGUUUGUAUGAGUGCCUGGACGUGGAAGAAGAGGUCAAACUAAGAUGGUCUCCCGCAGAAAAAUUUUGUCCCGAUCCCGCGACGAUCUGAACCUGGAGCAGCCUCAGGUCGAGGACGAGGAGAACGUCUGGUACACCACAGAGACUUGCUUCGAGGAGCACAUUCAUGAAGUGUUCCUGAAGUGGUCGCAGAUCGACGAUGAGAUCUGGUCCAAGGUGAUCGUGUUCGAGAAGAACAGGCGCGUGGCCAAGGCCUACCUCAGAUCACCUGUACUUACCGUCAACGGCACCAACAUUGGAUUUGAUGGCUUCAGGUUGGGACUGGCUGGCUUCGAGAAUCCCAUGAGGGAACCGAAGACGGAAGAAGUCAUCUCUCGGCAAAUUGGGCUGGGCUGCAAGCUUCGCAUGGACGAGGAUGGCAACAUUCUCGUCAAGCGGAUCUCGAACUCGAACGUGUACGUCAAGGCCGUCGACGACGAGAACAGCAUCAGCAACGACGUGUUGCGCCUUCCUAACCAGGCGCUGGAGCUCAGUAAACCGAUCAAGGCUUUCGACAUCCGCAAGUUUGAAGCGAACAUAGACAAGGAGAUGCGCAAGAUUUACCCCAACCGCUCUAAACUGGAGGCGCAGUGCAUCCUUCCUAUCGCCUUCUCAAAGAACGCUCCUCAGCUUCUGCAGUGUCCCUCCUGGGUCAUGAUCAUCAAUGUCGUCGCGCUCGACAUGCUCAAGAGCAAGCUGCCUAAUGCUCGCGCCCCACCGCCCAAUAUUCGCAACCGCCCCCGACUGCCGGUGCCUGAAGAGGAUCCCUACAGCGUGACCGGCUCCAGCAGCAGCAACGGCAGCAAGCCUGGCAAGCCUCCCAAACUCCCACCGAGGGAAGGCGGUAAAUCAAACUCCAAGGGCGAAUACGUUUAUAUCGAAGACAGCAUUCUUCGUCCCUUCCGAUCUUCCAGGAAAAACGGGAGCAAAGAUGCUGCUCCUAAAAAUGACGACCCUUACUACUGCGGUCUGCGCGCUCGCACCACAAACUUCAAAGGUAGCGACAAAGAUCGAGCCGACAUGGUGCGAGGCCAGUAUAUGGCUUACCAACAACAGCAUCAGCAGCAACAGCAGCAAGCACCCAUCCUGCCUGCACAUCCUCAUCCAGGCCUGUACCACGCGCGCAGCUACGAGUCCGCAAUGGGAAAACCUUUCAUGCCCCUGAAGCCCAUGCCGAAGAUGAACAAAUUAGACCGUAACCCAAUGUCUUGGGUUCCGAGCCAUCAGCAAAACUACGAAACUGAAUGGGAAAACUACUGGGGCACUUGAGUGCAAAGAACAAAGCUUAGAACUCAUGGUGACCCAGCAAGCUUGCGAGCAGCUCGACGUUUUUGAUUCUUCAGAUUACGGCGAGUCUGUCUACGCCCCCCUCUACGGCCGCCUUCCUCCCCCCAAGAGAGGCUACCUCCCCCCUCCC
rnacentral:misc_RNA from 1 species